AACCACAGCCAUAUCACCCUGCAGCCCAAGAGCGGUUACUCACUGAAGCUAAGCAGGGCUGAGCCUGGUCAAUACCUGGAUGGGAGACCACUAGGGAACACUGUUGGAAGUGGUGU
rfam:Danio rerio chromosome 14, GRCz11 reference primary assembly.